GAUGAACGCUGGCGGCGUGCCUAAUACAUGCAAGUCGAGCGAACAGACGAGGCGCUUGCUCCUCUGACGUUAGCGGCGGACGGGUGAGUAACACGUGGAUAACCUACCUAUAAGACUGGGAUAACUUCGGGAAACCGGAGCUAAUACCGGAUAAUCUAUUGAACCGCAUGGUUCAAUAGUGAAAUACGGUUUUGCUGUCACUUAUAGAUGGAUCCGCGCCGCAUUAGCUAGUUGGUAAGGUAACGGCUUAUCAAGGCAACGAUGCGUAGCCGACCGGAGAGGUGGAUCGGCCACACGGGAACUGGGACACGGUCCAGACUCCUACGGGAGGCAGCAGUAGGGAAUCUUCCGCAAUGGGCGAAAGCUUGACGGAGCAACGCCGCGUGAGUGAUGAAGGUCUUCGGAUCGUAAAACUCGGUUAUUAGGGAAGAACAAAUGUGUAAGUAACUAUGCACGUCUUGACGGUACCUAAUCAGAAAGCCACGGCUAACUACGUG
rnacentral:rRNA from 1 species